AGGGUUUGAUUAUGGCUCAGGAUGAACGCUGGCGGCGUGCUUAACACAUGCAAGUCGAACGAACCUUCGGGUUAGUGGCGGACGGGUGAGUAACGCGUGAGAAUCUGCCCUCAGGAGGGGGAUAACGGUUGGAAACGACCGCUAAUACCCCAUAUGCCUAUUGGUGAAAUGAAUUUCGCCUGAGGAUGAGCUCGCGUCUGAUUAGCUUGUUGGUGAGGUAAUGGCUCACCAAGGCUUCGAUCAGUAGCUGGUCUGAGAGGAUGAUCAGCCACACUGGGACUGAGACACGGCCCAGACUCCUACGGGAGGCAGCAGUGGGGAAUUUUCCGCAAUGGGCGAAAGCCUGACGGAGCAACGCCGCGUGAGGGACGAAGGCCUCUGGGCUGUAAACCUCUUUUCUCAAGGAAGAAGAUAUGACGGUACUUGAGGAAUAAGCCACGGCUAAUUCCGUGCCAGCAGCCGCGGUAAUAC
rnacentral:rRNA from 1 species